AGAACGAACGCUGGCGGCAGGCUUAACACAUGCAAGUCGAGCGCCCCGCAAGGGGAGCGGCAGACGGGUGAGUAACGCGUGGGAACAUACCCUCCGGUUCGGAAUAGCUCAGGGAAACUUGGAUUAAUACCGGAUACGGCCUAGCGGCGAAAGAUUCAUCGCCGGAGGAUUGGCCCGCGUUCGAUUAGCUAGUUGGUGAGGUAACGGCUCACCAAGGCGACGAUCGAUAGCUGGUCUGAGAGGAUGAUCAGCCACAUUGGGACUGAGACACGGCCCAAACUCCUACGGGAGGCAGCAGUGGGGAAUAUUGGACAAUGGGCGCAAGCCUGAUCCAGCCAUGCCGCGUGAGUGAUGACGGCCUUAGGGUUGUAAAGCUCUUUCAGUUGGGACGAAGCUCCGCCGGUGAAUAGCCGGCUGGAGUGACGGUACCUUCAGAAGAAGCCCCGGCUAACUACGUGCCAGCAGCCGC
rnacentral:rRNA from 1 species